UACGAAGGGGGCUAGCGUUGUUCGGAUUUACUGGGCGUAAAGCGCACGUAGGCGGAUUGUUAAGUCAGGGGUGAAAUCCUGGAGCUCAACUCCAGAACUGCCUUUGAUACUGGCGAUCUCGAGUCCGGGAGAGGAGACUGGAAUUCAUGGUGUAGCAGUGAAAUGCGUAGAGAUCAUGAGGAAGACCAGUGGCGAAGGCGGGUCUCUGGACAGUUCCUGACACUGAGGCACGAAGGCCAGGGGAGCAAACGGG
rnacentral:rRNA from 1 species